rnacentral:rRNA from 1 species
UAGGGAAUCUUCCACAAUGGACGAAAGUCUGAUGGAGCAACGCCGCGUGAGUGAUGAAGGCCUUCGGGUCGUAAAGCUCUGUUGUUAGGGAAGAACAAGUGCGAGAGUAACUGCUCGCACCUUGACGGUACCUAACCAGAAAGCCACGGCUAACUACGUGCCAGCAGCCGCGGUAAUACGUAGGUGGCAAGCGUUAUCCGGAAUUAUUGGGCGUAAAGCGCGCGCAGGUGGUUCUUAAGUCUGAUGUGAAGCCACGGCUCAACCGUGGAGGGUCAUUGGAAACUGGGGAACUUGAGUGCAGAAGAGGAAAGUGGAAUUCCAAGUGUAGCGGUGAAAUGCGUAGAGAUUUGGAGGAACACCAGUGGCGAAGGCGACUUUCUGGUCUGUAACUGACACUGAGGCGCGAAAGCGUGGGGAGCAAACAGGAUUAGAUACCCUGGUAGUCCACGCCGUAAACGAUGAGUGCUAAGUGUUAGAGGGG